ensembl:snoRNA
UGGACUCAUGAUGACCACUGGUGGCGUCUGAACCAUGGACUGUGAAUGGUCCACGUGUGGAACUCUGAGGCCCAA